UACAGAGGGGGCAAGCGUUGUUCGGAAUUACUGGGCGUAAAGGGCGCGUAGGCGGCCUUCUAAGUCGAACGUGAAAUCCCUGGGCUCAACCCAGGAACUGCGUCCGAUACUGGAGGGCUUGAAUCCGGGAGAGGGAUGCGGAAUUCCAGGUGUAGCUGUGAAAUGCGUAGAUAUCUGGAGGAACACCGGUGGCGAAGGCGGCAUCCUGGACCGGUAUUGACGCUGAGGCGCGAAAGCCAGGGGAGCAAACGGG
rnacentral:rRNA from 1 species